rnacentral:rRNA from 1 species
GAUGAACGCUAGCUACAGGCUUAACACAUGCAAGUCGAGGGGUAACGAGAGGGAAGCUUGCUUUCCUUGUCGACGACCGGCGCACGGGUGAGUAACGCGUAUCCAACCUGCCCCCAACUAAGGAAUAACCUUGCGAAAGUAAGACUAAUACCCUAUAAUUUCCUCAGAUGACAUCUGACGAGGAAUAAAGAUUUAUCGGUUGUGGAUGGGGAUGCGUCUGAUUAGCUUGUUGGCGGGGCAGCGGCCCACCAAGGCAACGAUCAGUAGGGGUUCGGAGAGGAAGGUCCCCCACAUUGGAACUGAGACACGGUCCAAACUCCUACGGGAGGCAGCAGUGAGGAAUAUUGGUCAAUGGGCGGAAGCCUGAACCAGCCAAGUAGCGUGCAGGAUGACGGCCCUAUGGGUUGUAAACUGCUUUUAUACAGGAAUAAAGUUAGCCACGUGUGGUUAUUUGUAGGUACUGUAUGAAUAAGGACCGGCUAAUUCCGUGCCAGCCGCCGCGGUAA